rnacentral:rRNA from 1 species
UCGGACUGGAGUCUGCAACCCGACUCCACGAAGCUGGAUUCGCUAGUAAUCGCGCAUCAGCCACGGCGCGGUGAAUACGUUCCCGGGCCUUGUACACACCGCCCGUCAAGCCAUGGGAGCCGGGGUACCUGAAGUGCGUAACCGCGAGGAGCGCCCUAGGGUAAAACUGGUGACUGGGGCUAAGUCGUAACAAGGUAUC